UUAAUUUAUAAAAAAAAAAGAAAAGAAGAUUCUAGUUUGUCAUGGAUCAACGAAUUAAAUCGGAGACGGCGGUAAUAGGCCCUUAUUUUAGAGCAUUUACAUUUUUUUUUAUGAAACCAUUCUUUUUAUGUCAAUUCUAUAUCUCAGACGAUAAUCGCUAAAUCGAUUUGAAUUUGGUCGUUCUUUUACAUGUGCGCGCGCAGAUUACAGUUAUCAUAUGCAUUAGUUCCGAUUGUUCAGUAUUGUUCGAUAUCGGACGCGAAAAUUUAAAGAGUUGUUCAAGUAUUGUAAUCAUAUGAUAUAAAGCUCAAUCAUAAUUAAAUUAAAAGAAUAUAUCUUAAAAAAUACGAAAAUUAUAUAUAGAACGGAAGAAUAUCAUUACAAAAGAAUAAGCAAUGUCGUUACAAAUUCCGAUGCAACGUCGCAACUAUUAAUAACUAAUUAUAAAGAAUACUUUUGGUAAUACUUUUUUGUAUUAUUCUUCUAAUAUAUUUUUAAUAUUUUUUACAAUUCUGUAACGAAGAAAAAUAAUUGGAAAUAUAGAACGAAGUAUACAUAUAUAGAGAGAUCCAUUUUAGUCUAGAAGUGAGUAUUUGAAAAAGCCAUUAAUUCAACAUGUUUGAAACACUCUAUACAUGUAUAAAAAGUUGAAUACUCAGAUGAAACGUCUUUUCUCUUUGAGUAUUGGAAAAAAGAAUCACUAUGUAAUUUUUUGUAAUUCUAAGUUAUUUACAAUGAAAGAUUAAUACAUACACAUCAUAUCGAUCGAUAAUUAUAUAAAAUUCAUAUUUUUAGAUUAUACAAAUAUUCGAACAUAAAUAUGAUUGAUACUAUUUCGAAUAAUUAUAAAAUAAUUAAUCAAUUUUAUUAAUUAUGGUUAAUCUCUUUCUGUUGUGAUAUCUAAUGCAUAAAACAUGCAAUAUAUUAAUCUUUAGAUUAUUUUCAUCUUAAUAUUUAGACGAUAGGAAUAUCUAAAAGGUAAAAAGAUUGCUAAAAAAUUUAAGUAUGCUCGUAUAAAAAUUUUCGAAAAUUCACUUAAAAAUUUCAAAAUAAUUCAAAAUAUCAAGUUAUAAAAGUACAAAAUUGAUGGUAUAAAAAACUGAUUUCUAUUGUCAAUUGUAUAAAAAGGAUCGUGAUUCAUAUCACAUAUCUUAAACUCAUCAGUCGCAUAGAAUAUCACAGGAACAUUAGUAAGUGCCAUUAGAUUUUUAUGUAUCAAAUAUAAUAGAUAUUAUAUUGCUCGUGCAUGUAUUAAAAAAUAUAAAGAAUAAUAAAA